rnacentral:rRNA from 1 species
GACGUAGGGCGCGAGCGUUGUCCGGAUUUAUUGGGCGUAAAGAGCUCGUAGGCGGCUUGUCGCGUCGACUGUGAAAUCCCGCGGCUCAACUGCGGGUCUGCAGUCGAUACGGGCAGGCUAGAGUUCGGUAGGGGAGACUGGAAUUCCUGGUGUAGCGGUGAAAUGUGCAGAUAUCAGGAGGAACACCGGUGGCGAAGGCAGAUCUCUGGGCCGUAACUGACGCUGAGGAGCGAAAGCAUGGGGGAGCGAACAGG